GGCUCAGAACGAACGCUGGCGGCGUGCCUAACACAUGCAAGUCGAGCGCGAAUGGGGGCAACCCCUAGUAGAGCGGCGCACGGGUGCGUAACACGUGGGUAAUCUGCCUAGAAGACCGGGACAACCUUCCGAAAGGAAAGCUAAUACCGGAUAAGCCUACGGGAUCCUCGGAUCCUGAAGGAAAAGGUGGCCUCUGUAUACAAGCUAUCACUUCUAGAUGAGCCCGCGGCCCAUCAGCUAGUUGGCGGGGUAACGGCCCACCAAGGCAACGACGGGUAGCUGGUCUGAGAGGACGAUCAGCCACACUGGAACUGAGACACGGUCCAGACUCCUACGGGAGGCAGCAGUGGGGAAUUUUGCACAAUGGGCGAAAGCCUGAUGCAGCAACGCCGCGUGUGUGAUGAAGGUCUUCGGAUUGUAAAGCACUUUCGACCGGGACGAAAACCUGUUGGCUAACAUCCAACGGCUUGACGGUACCGGGAGAAGAAGCACCGGCUAACUCUGUGCCAGCAGCCGCGGUAAUACAGAGGGUGCAAGCGUUGUUCGGAAUUAUUGGGCGUAAAGCGCGUGUAGGCGGCUUUGCAAGUCGGGUGUGAAAUCCCUCAGCUUAACUGAGGAAGUGCGCCCGAAACUGCAGAGCUUGAGUACCGGAGAGGGUGGCGGAAUUCCCCAAGUAGAGGUGAAAUUCGUAGAUAUGGGGAGGAACACCGGUGGCGAAGGCGGCCACCUGGACGGAUACUGACGCUGAGACGCGAAAGCGUGGGGAGCAAACAGGAUUAGAUACCCUGGUAGUCCACGCCGUAAACGAUGAGAACUAGGUGUCGUGGGUGUUGACCCCCGCGGUGCCGUAGCUAACGCAUUAAGUUCUCCGCCUGGGAAGUACGGCCCGCAGGCUAAAACUC
rnacentral:rRNA from 1 species